UUUUUCAACAUGGUUGACUUGUCUUUAUACGUCGAAAAUUAUUUUGAACGUUAGAUAUAUGAAGGAUAAGAAAACCUAAUAUAUUAAAAUAGAGUCAAUUUAAAAAAUAUGCUGUACAAGUUUAGAUCUGACCCAAAAAACUUCGUUCUCUCUCUAGUUUUCACCAUCUUCUCUGUAAAAGAGUUUUCAAAAAAAAAAAAGUUUGAGGUAAGGGGCUGGUGGUUUCACCACCGCCGGUCACCCUUUUUUCUUUUGUUUUUGUUUUUUGUGUAAAUAUUUGAUCGGCUCUUCAGCUUAGUCCUAUCUUACUUCCGUCUGCGGAUUUUUUCUUUGGUAUAUCCGACUUGGAUCUUCGCAAGGCAAAGUAUUCAGAAAGUGUAGAGUCUUGAGCUUUGCAAUUAACCUUCCCGGUUCUGGAUUCAACUUAAGAAAAGCUGAAGUUUGCUUCUAGCAAAUGUUUUGGCAAUAGUUGCCUCUAAAUCGAUUGAAGGUAUUUGGAGUACUUUACAUCCAAAAGAAGAGAUUGGAGACUGAAGUAGCAGAGGUGCAAAAGAUAAUAUAGGUCUCAGAUCCAUUGAAAUGGUGUUGCCUUCUUGGAGAUAAGGAAGCAAAAGAGCGUUGAGAGAACAGAGUUUUCUUGGCGUCGGCGACCAGUCCACGGUAGACCAGUCCACGGCGUCGGCGACUACCGCUUCACGCAUGGAAGACACCUGUUAUCACGUGUUGCGAGUACUGGAAACCCCUAGGGUUUUCUAGAUCUUGUAUUGUUCUUUAAUUGGGGUUCAAUAUUAUGUUUUCUCUUAGUGGUCAUUUUCAGUGUAAUCUGAAACCUUGUAAAAGUCAAAUGAAUGAAAGUUUGUUAGACAAAAAAAAAAAA